CGGUUGAUCCUGCCGGAGGCCACCGCUAUCCGGGUUCGACUAAGCCAUGCGAGGCGAGAGUCGACUCGCCGAACUGCUCAGUAAUAUGUAGUUAACCUACCCUAUCCUGGGGGAUAAACCCGGGAAACUGGGUUCAAUACCCCAUAGGUCUUAAGUUCUGGAAUGAUUUAAGACCAAAAGCUCCGGCGGGAUAGGAUGGGACUACAUGCUAUUAGGCUGUUGAUGGUGUAAGAACCAUCAAACCUAUAAUGGCUACGGGCUAUGGGAGUAGAAGCCCGGAGAUGGACUCUGAGACAUGAGUCCAGGUCUUACGAGACGCAGCAGGCGCGAAAACUUUGCAAUUCACUAACGUGAGACAAGGGAACCCGGAGUGUUCUUGCUAUGCAAGAACUUUUGCCCUUUGAAAACGGGAAGGAGAAUAAGGUCUGGGGAACACGGGUGCCAGCCCCCGCGGUAAUACCCGGGGACCGAGUGGUGGCCAGUAUUAUUGGGUCUAAAGCGUCCGUAGCCGGUCCGAAAAGUCCCUAGUGAAAUCUUUCAGCAAACUGAAAGGAGUGCUUGGGAUACUUUUGGACUUGAGACUGGGAGGGGAUAGGGAUACUCUUAGGGUAGGGGUAAAAUCCUGUAAUCCUGAGAGGAUCACCACUGGCGAAGGCGCCUAUCUGGAACAGGUCUGACGGUGAGGGACGAAAGCUAGGGGAGCGAUUGGGAUUAGAUAUGGGAAUCCUUUUCCACUAAAUACCCCAGUAGUCCUAGCAGUAAACGAUGCCCGUUUGGUGUUGCAGGCUUCUCGGGAGCUUGCAGUGCCGGAGCGCAGGUGUUAAACGGGCCACCUGGGAAGUACGGCCGCAAGGCUGAAACUUAAAGGAAUUGGCGGGGGAGCAC
rnacentral:rRNA from 1 species